ACGGGUGAGUAACACGUAUCCAACCUGCCGUCUACUCUUGGACAGCCUUCUGAAAGGAAGAUUAAUACAAGAUGGCAUCAUGAGUUCACAUGUUCACAUGAUUAAAGGAUUCCGGUAAAGGAUGGGGAUGCGUUCCAUUAGGUUGUUGGUGAGGUAACGGCUCACCAAGCCUUCGAUGGAUAGGGGUUCUGAGAGGAAGGUCCCCCACAUUGGAACUGAGACACGGUCCAA
rnacentral:rRNA from 1 species